rnacentral:rRNA from 1 species
AGAGUUUGAUCAUGGCUCAGAUUGAACGCUGGCGGCGUGCUUAACACAUGCAAGUCGAGCGGUAGCAGGCGUAGCAAUACGUGCUGACGAGCGGCGAACGGGUGAGUAAUGCUUCGGAAUCUUCCUCGUAGUGGGGAACAACCUGGGGAAACUCAGGCUAAUACCGCGUACGAACUACGGUUGAAAGCAGGGGAUCGCAAGACCUUGCGCUAUGAGAUGAGCCGAAGUCGGAUUAGCUAGUUGGUGAGGUAAUGGCUCACCAAGGCGACGAUCCGUAGCUGGUCUGAGAGGACGACCAGCCACACUGGAACUGAGACACGGUCCAGACUCCUACGGGAGGCAGCAGUGGGGAAUAUUGGACAAUGGGCGCAAGCCUGAUCCAGCGACGCCGCGUGUGUGAAGAAGGUCUUCGGAUUGUAAAGCACUUUCGGCGGGGACGAUGAUGACGGUACCCGCAGAAGAAGCCCCGGCUAACUACGUGCCAGCCGCCGCGGUAAUUC